rnacentral:rRNA from 1 species
GCUAAGGUUUCCUCAGGAAGGCUCGUCCGCUGAGGGUUAGUCGGGACCUAAGCCGAGGCCGAAAGGCGUAGGCGAUGGACAAUCGGUUGAUAUUCCGAUACCACUACCAUCGUUAUUAUCGAGGGUGUGACGGAGAAGGAUAGUGUGUGCUAGCGAUUGGAAAUGCUAGUCUAAGCGUUUAGGGAGUUACGGUAGGCAAAUCCGCUGUAACAAUUCUGAGGCGUGAUGGGGAAGGUCAUAUAGGCCGAAGUACAUGAUUCCAUGCUUCCAAGAAAAGCAUCUAGAGAGAGAAGUAGUGCCCGUACCGCAAACCGACACAGGUAGAUGAGGAGAGAAUCCUAAGGCCGGCGGAAGAAUUGCAGUUAAGGAACUAGGCAAAUUGACCCCGUAAGUUCGCGAGAAGGGGUGCCUGCGAGAGCAGGCCGCAGAGAAUAGGCCCAAGCAACUGUUUAGCAAAAACACAGGUCUCUGCUAAAGCGUAAGCUGAUGUAUAGGGGCUGACGCCUGCCCGGUGCUGGAAGGUUAAGGGGAACACUUAGCGCAAGCGAAGGUGUGAACUUAAGCCCCAGUAAACGGCGGCCGUAACUAUAACGGUCCUAAGGUAGCGAAAUUCCUUGUCAGGUAAGUUCUGACCCGCACGAAUGGCGUAAUGACUUGGGCACUGUCUCAACUGCAAAUCCGGCGAAGUUGUAGUGCGAGUGAAGAUGCUCGCUACCCGCGAUUGGACGGAAAGACCCCGUAGAGCUUUACUGUAGCUUAGCAUUGAAUUCCGGUAUUGUCUGUACAGGAUAGGUGGGAGACUGGGAAACUAGGGCGUCAGCCUUAGUGGAGUCAACCUUGGGAUACCACUCUGACAGUACUGGGGUUCUAACAGGACGCCAUGAAUCUGGUGACUGGACAUUGUUAGGUGGGCAGUUUGACUGGGGCGGUCGCCUCCUAAAAAGUAACGGAGGCGCCCAAAGGUUCCCUCAGAACGGUCGGAAAUCGUUCGUAGAGUGCAAAGGCAGAAGGGAGCCUGACUGCGAGACAUACAAGUCGAGCAGGGACGAAAGUCGGGCUUAGUGAUCCGGUGGUACCUCGUGGGAGGGCCAUCGCUCAACGGAUAAAAGCUACCUCGGGGAUAACAGGCUGAUCUCCCCCAAGAGUCCACAUCGACGGGGAGGUUUGGCACCUCGAUGUCGGCUCGUCGCAUCCUGGGGCUGUAGUAGGUCCCAAGGGUUGGGCUGUUCGCCCAUUAAAGCGGCACGCGAGCUGGGUUCAGAACGUCGUGAGACAGUUCGGUCCCUAUCCGUCGCGGGCGUAGGAAAUUUGAGAGGAGCUGUCCUUAGUACGAGAGGACCGGGAUGGACUGACCUCUGGUGCACCAGUUGUUCCGCCAGGAGCAUGGCUGGGUAGCUAAGUCGGGAAGGGAUAAACGCUGAAAGCAUCUAAGCGUGAAGCCUCCCUCAAGAUGAGAUUUCCCAUAGCAUAAGCUAGUAAGACCCCUUGAAGAACACAAGGUUGAUAGGUCAGAGGUGUAAGUGCGGUAACGUAUUUAGCUGACUGAUACUAAUAGGUCGAGGGCUUGACC